UCUGUGGUUCCAGAUCUAUUCCAUUUAAGAAUGAUGGAGGGCAUGUGUUAUUGGGGACCUUCAAUGCUGUAUAAAUGUUUUCGUGCCCUUUCCAAGAUCUGUGCCUCGACACAAUCCUGUCUCGGAGCUCUACAGACAAUUCCUUCGACCUCAUGGCUUUGGUUUUUGCUCUGAUAUUGAUUGUCAACUGUGGGACCUUUUAUAGACAGUUGUGUGCCUUUCCAAAUCAUGUCCAAUUAAUUGAAUUUACCAUAGCUGGACUCCAAUCAAGCUGUAGAAACAUCUCAAGGGUGAUCAAGGGAAACAGGAUGCACCUGAACUCAAUUUCGAGUUUCAUAGCAAAGGGUCUGAAUGCUUUUGUAAAUAAGGUAUUUCAGUUUUUUUUUUGUGCUAAAUUUCCAAACAUUUCCAAAAACCGGUGUUCUCUUUGUCAUUAUGAGGUAUUGUGUGAAGCUUGCUUAGGAUAUUUAUUCAUUUAAUCAAUUUUAGAAAGAGUCUGUAAUGUAGCGAAAUGUGACCGACAGCCUUUAUUCAGUCUUAUGUAGCAAAAUAUGAAAUUCUGUUUUUUACAUUGGAUGAAAGCAGAGACACAGAGCUACAAAGUGGUAUAUCAUACACUACAUUUUUGAGGAAAAUGGAAAAGUAAUUCUGCAUUGAAAGUUGAUAAACUUGUAAACUCAAUUUUGACAAAAUGGCCUUUGAAUGUUUUGGUACUACUACUGGAGGGUUCUCCUUUGAAUGGUACUACUACUGGAGGGUUCUCCUUUGAAUGGUACUACUUCUGGAGGGCUCUCCUUUGAAUGGUACUACUACUGGAGGGCUCUCCUUUGAAUGGUACUACAACUGGAGGGCUCUCCUUUGAAUGGUACUACUACUGGAGGGCUCUCCUUUGAAUGGUACUACUACUGGAGGGCUCUCCUUUGAAUGGUACUACUACUGGAGGGCUCUCCUUUGAAUGGUACUACUACCGGAGGGCUCUCCUUUGAAUGGUACUACAACUGGAGGGCUCUCCUUUGAAUGGUACUACUACUGGAGGGCUCUCCUUUGAAUGGUACUACUACUGGAGGGCUCUCCUUUGAAUGGUACUUCUGCUGGAGGGCUCUCCUUUGAAUGGUACUACUACUGGAGGGCUCUCCUUUGUCCACACCCACCACCCAUCUCUUUAAGGAUUCACAUAUAAGGUCAUGUACGAAACAGUGAGUUGUGUAGUAAAGAUUAAGACUAAAAGUGAUAAAAGUAGUAGCCUACAAUAAGGAACAAUUCCAGGUAAAGAGAAAGUGUCCAGAUUAAAAUAUUUGAUCAAUAUUAGAUGACGUUUACCCAGACACACUAAAUUGAUGGGUCAUGUGAAAGAAAUGCCAUAACCCCCAGCCACAUCUUGCUAAGUGGAUGGGUCUCGACAGAAGGUGUAAACGCUACAGCGAAAUAGUUACUUGCAUAGUAGCAAUAUCAGAAAUAGAUAUAUAUAUAAUAUCCAGUAUGUACAAGAACGAUGUCAAUAAGUGAUCAGUGAUAGAUGAGGUAGUUAUAUGCAUACAAUCAGGGGUAAAGUGGCUGAGCAGCAGGAUAAACAAAUAAAUAGUAACAGCAAUGUAUGGCGUGUGUGUUAGCAGAGAGUCAUUUGAAUAGAGGCACUGCAGAUAGUGCUGAUGACUGGUUUGUCUGAAACACGCAUGAACAAGGGAAUCUAUAUUAGGAGAGCCUGUUUCUGUCCUGCCCUUGACUUUGGUGCAGGGCAUGUGAUGUUCAUAGCCUCUUCGUCGCAAAACCCCUUGAUCUUCUCAAAAACAUAAGUUUGUCUAGCUGUGUCCAGUCCAGGUGGUGCUUGUCCAGGCAGACCAUCUAUGGGAGGAAGGAUGUCAGCGAUGCGCAGCAGCUGAAACCUGGUCCCGACUGAGUCCGAACGCUCCUUGGCAACAACAACAACAGGCUCCAGUGCAUCGAAAUAACAAAAACAUUUGAGAAGACAUUACAACCUUGCACAACAUCAAUUCAUCCCCCAAGUUUAGAUAAGAAGAAUAACCUCGUACAAUUCAAUGAAAAUGAUAUUCACCUGAAGUGCUGGUAGUGUGGCAGCAGCCUGAAGUACUGAAUCAGGUGUUGUUUCCAGCCAUAUAUUUUUUAUUUUUUUACUUUAUUUCGCCUUUAUUUAAACAGGUAAGCCAGUUGAGAACAAGUUCUCAUUUAUAUCUAUGACCUGGUCAAGACAACGCAAAGCAGUGCGCCACAAACAACACAGAGUUACACAUGGGAUAAACAAAGGUACAGUCAAUAACACAAUAGAAAAAUCUAGAUACAGUGUGUGCAAAUGAGCUAAGAUUAGGGAGGUAAAGGCAACAAAUAGGCCAUAGUGACGAAAUAAUUACAAUAUAGCAAUUAAACACUGGAUUGAUAGAUGUGCAGAAGAUGAAUGUGCAAGUAGAGAUACUGGGGUGCAAAGGAGCAACUGCCUUUGCUGGAUGACUUGCCUUCAUCAAUCAAGUAGUUGACUUGUUGUGGUAUUCCUUCACAGCAGACACCAAACAAGCCACACAUGUGAGGAGUUAAAAAGUAGAUGGGACCUGGCUGCAUAUGGUCAGAAGGAUAGUACAUCUGCGAACAACAAAAAGAACAUUAAGAUAAAUUAAAAUGUCUCACCCCUGUCAGUCUGUCUUUACACAGCUCAGUGAAAGGCAAUUGCAUGCCUUAUAUAUUAUAUAUAUUUUUUUCUAUCUAUCUAUCUAUCUAUCUAUCUAUCUAUCUAUCUAUCUAUCUAUCUAUCUAUCUAUCUAUCUAUCUAUCUAUCUAUCUAUCUAUCUAUCUAUCUAUCUAUCUAUCUAUCUAUCUAUCUAUCUAUCUAAUCACUAUAAAGGAGGAGAUGUUGCUUACUUGUUGAGCCAAAAUCAAAGCUGUAAUGCAGCCUGAUGUCUUUGCUUGCUAGUUCAGUAGGGGCAACAACAAAAAAACACAUUUAAACAAAAGUUUACGUUCAAAUGGCUCUCCUGUGAAGUAGUGACCCACGACAUAUGUCUAGUUUCCUGAAACAGCUCACGAAUUUGGAAAAAGUCAAGGGGUCUGAAUACUG
ensembl:lncRNA